GGACUACUGGGGUUUCUAAUCCCGUUUGCUCCCCUGGCCUUCGUGCCUCAGUGUCAGUAACUGUCCAGAGAUUCGCCUUCGCCACUGGUCUUCCUUACGAUAUCUACGCAUUUCACUGCUACACCGUAAAUUCCAAUCUCCUCUCCAGUACUCAAGCAAGGCAGUAUCAAGUGCAGUUUCGGAGUUGAGCUCCGAGAUUUCACACCUGACUUACCCCGCCACCUACGCACCCUUUACGCCCAAUGAAUCCGAACAACGCUUGAGACCUCUGUAUUACCGCGGCUGCUGGCAC
rnacentral:rRNA from 1 species